GACAGAGGGUGCAAACGUUGUUCGGAAUUACUGGGCGUAAAGCGAGUGUAGGCGGUUUCGUAAGUCGGAUGUGAAAGCCCCGGGCUCAACUCGGGAAGUGCACUCGAUACUGCGAGGCUAGAGUAUCGGAGAGGUUGGUGGAAUUCUCGGUGUAGAGGUGAAAUUCGUAGAUAUCGAGAGGAACACCGGUGGCGAAGGCGGCCAACUGGACGAAUACUGACGCUGAGACUCGAAAGCGUGGGGAGCAAACAGG
rnacentral:rRNA from 1 species